rnacentral:lncRNA from 1 species
UUCUGCCCAUCCUCUGGGUGUGUCAUGAAAAUGCUGUGAGUCUGGAUGCUCAGCCGGAGAUGCUGGCUUUGGGUCAGGGUAGCUCUGUAGCGUUACACAUCCCCAGAGGCUGCCAGAUUGUCUACAAGUACAGCAUCUUCAGCUUUAGCAUGGAAUUGAGCUGUGUCUGUGAUGUUGUCUUUGUUUAACCCUUGUCUUGUAUUGAAAUUUCAGUUUAGGAAGUGUGCCGUUUCAUUAGGUACCAAAGCACUUGCACUUUUGGGAACAUAGGUGUCACUUGGUAAAUCACUAGGCCAUCUCGAGACUGAAGGUGAACCUCUGAUUGCAGAGGUGUCCCCUGCUCCUGAUACAGCAGUAGCCGCAGGCUCUUCCCAUGAUGCAAUACAGAAAGGAUGGAGGUCUGAGAUCACUGGAUAUGGCUGAGUGGUUUCCACCAAACUGAGGAUAGGCACGAAACUCUCCUCAGUCCACCUGACUUUGUGGAAGUUUUAUGUGCAUGCGGUUCAGUUAGCUGUAGCAGCUCCUUUUCCCAAAGUAAAAGGCUAAUCUGUUGGUUGCUGCUGUGACUGCUGCAGAGCCAUCUCUGGCUGCAAGCUGUCUUGUGCUGGCCCUUGCUUGUCAUCUGCAGGGCUUUGGUCCCACUCUCCAGCUGUGCCAGGAUUCUUUUGUCUGCUUCUGGGUCUGCUCCGUUUUCACCACUGCCUUCAUCAUCAUGGUCCAGAGGUGUAGGAAGAGCCAGGAGUGCAAGCAGUAGCUACCCUGGAGAGAGCCAUUGAAAUUCACCCUGCUCUGUGGCUGAUUUUCCAGCAGUGUCCUUGCUCAUCCCUCUUGUCUGGAAGCCAUGGUGUUGGCCAUCUGGGGCCUGACAUCAGCUUCACCUGAAGGUUAUCAGACCUCUACCUGAGGUCUGAAUUCUUUUAAGCCAAAGUGCCUGCUCCCCUCCUCUCCCCUUCCCCCCCCCCAUCUUGGUUUUCAUGAUGAACUAGUGAAUUUCCGUGCGUAAAUCUGGUUGCUCUUGGCACUUUGGUCUCUUCUGUACUUACUAGAAAGCCUCCGAAGCCCGUCUGUGCUGAGCCACCCCCAGAGCAGCCUUAUCCACACUGCUUGCCAGAGUCCUGUGGCCUCAUCUCUCCUGUUCCCCUGUGUGUUUGGGUAUAGUAUUCCUUCCCAGUUGUCCCUAAAAUUGUGAUGGGGGAGUCCCCACUCACCUAAGCAUUACCAGCCAGCUAUGUGGCAUCCCAACACGAAGACCUUGUGUAGUUCUUUUUGCAAUGACAUAUUUAUUGAAUCUAUUUAUAUUUAUUUAAUUUUUACUCUGAAGUAUAUCCGGUUACAAUUGCACUUGCUUAAAGCACAUCAGAUCUAUUUUGGACAAUACCCCUGACCAUUCUAAAACUGGAAAAGGAAAAGUUACACUGUAUCCUGCCACCUUAUGGUAGCCUUGUCUUUAAAGGGUGAAUAAUUUGGUCUGGGUAAAAUGUUAAUUUUUAGAUGAUUUUUUAAAAAAAUCUUGUGCCAUGUGUCUUCUCUGUGGACAGUUAAUUGUUUAAUUGAUAUGUGCUGAUUGUGUGAUUCACUCCUCUUUGUGGAAACUAAAAUAUUCUUUUUAGCUUUAUAUUUUAUAAACUGCCAGAUUGUACAACUUUUAUGUGUAUUUUUAAAGCUCAUGAUAUGAGGAUCAUUAUCUAAACGGCCUAUUUUUUUACCU